rnacentral:rRNA from 1 species
AGUGAACGUUGGCGGCGUGCCUAACACAUGCAAGUCGAACGAGAACCGAGUAGCUUGCUACUUGGGGAAAGUGGCGAACGGGUGAGUAACACGUGAGCAAUCUGCCCUCGAGUGAGGAAUAACCCCGCGAAAGCGGGGCUAAUACCGCAUGAUGCUCUGGAACAUAAGUUUUCAGAGUUAAAACCCCUUGGGGUGCUUGAGGAUGAGCUUGCGUCCUAUUAGCUAGUUGGUAGGGUAAUGGCCUACCAAGGUUAUGAUGGGUAGCCGGCCUGAGAGGGUGUCCGGCCACACUGGAACUGGGACACGGUCCAGACUCCUACGGGAGGCAGCAGUGGGGAAUUUUGCGCAAUGGGCGAAAGCCUGACGCAGCGACGCCGCGUGGAGGAUGAAGGCUUUCGGGUUGUAAACUCCUGUCAGAGGUGAAGAAAACCCUCCUUAGGGAGGGCUUGACGGUAACCUCAGAGGAAGCCCCGGCUAACUACGUG